UAGGGAAUCUUCGGCAAUGGACGAAAGUCUGACCGAGCAACGCCGCGUGAGUGAAGAAGGUUUUCGGAUCGUAAAACUCUGUUGUUAGAGAAGAACAAGGACGUUAGUAACUGAACGUCCCCUGACGGUAUCUAACCAGAAAGCCACGGCUAACUACGUGCCAGCAGCCGCGGUAAUACGUAGGUGGCAAGCGUUGUCCGGAUUUAUUGGGCGUAAAGCGAGCGCAGGCGGUUUCUUAAGUCUGAUGUGAAAGCCCCCGGCUCAACCGGGGAGAGUCAUUGGAAACUGGGAGACUUGAGUGCAGAAGAGGAGAGUGGAAUUCCAUGUGUAGCGGUGAAAUGCGUAGAUAUAUGGAGGAACACCAGUGGCGAAGGCGGCUCUCUGGUCUGUAACUGACGCUGAGGCUCGAAAGCGUGGGGAGCAAACAGG
rnacentral:rRNA from 3 species